AGCGAACGCUGGCGGCAGGCUUAACACAUGCAAGUCGAGCGGGCCCUUCGGGGUCAGCGGCAGACGGGUGAGUAACACGUGGGAACGUACCCUUUGGUUCGGAAUAACGCUGGGAAACUAGCGCUAAUACCGGAUACGCCCUUUUGGGGAAAGGCUUGCUGCCGAAGGAUCGGCCCGCGUCUGAUUAGCUAGUUGGUGGGGUAAUGGCCUACCAAGGCGACGAUCAGUAGCUGGUCUGAGAGGAUGAUCAGCCACACUGGGACUGAGACACGGCCCAGACUCCUACGGGAGGCAGCAGUGGGGAAUAUUGGACAAUGGGCGCAAGCCUGAUCCAGCCAUGCCGCGUGAGUGAUGAAGGCCUUAGGGUUGUAAAGCUCUUUUGCCCGGGACGAUAAUGACGGUACCGGAAGAAUAAGCCCCGGCUAACUUCGUG
rnacentral:rRNA from 1 species